UUUUUUUUUUUUUUUUUUUUUUGAGAUGGAGUCUGACUCUGUCACCCAGGCUGGAGUGCGAUGGUGCAAUCUCAGCUCACUCCAACCUUUGCCUCUCAGGUUCGAGUGAUUCUCUGGCCUCAGCCUCCCAAGUAGCUGGGAUUGCAGGCGCCCGCCACCAUACCCGGCUAAUUUUUUUGGUAUUUUUAGUAGAGAUGGGGUUUUGCCAUGUUGGCCAGGCUGGUCUCAAACUCCUGACCUCAGGUGAUCCACCUUCCUUGGCCUCCCAAAGUGCUGGGGUUACAGGCGUGAGCCACCGUGCCUGACCUUGUUGCUGUUUAUAUUAGGUCAGGGAAGGCCUCACAGAAAAGGUGACGUCUGAACAGAGAGCUGAAGAAAGUGGGGGAGAAGGCGCAUGGACAUUAGAGGGUGGGAAGAUAGGGAAGAGCACAACCCAGAUCAAGGGAGAAGCCAAGUGUAGAGGCCCUGAGGGGACAGCGUGCUGCAUGGGAGGCCGGCCAGCCAGCGGGGGCCCUGGCUGGUGUGCUAGGAGAAUGAGGUUGGAGAGGCAGUGGGGUGGGGUCCUGUGGGGUGCAGACCGUGGGUCAUGUGGGGCUCCACCAUUCCUUCUUGAAGAUGUGCAUGAUUACUGCUUGAUUACUUUCUUGGGCAUCUUGAAAAUCCUGUCCUCCUACCUAUGUCAAAAUGCAGCAGAAAGGAAAAGCCCUAGUCUUACCAGUCUUAACGAGUACAAAUGAAGUUGUUGUACAUUAAUAUCUAAAUCUCAAUGGUUUGAGUUCUCACCUGUGCAAAGGUAGAAAGCCCCAGUUCCAGGAAAAUCCUUUUCCCCCUAGUAUUUCUAGGAAUCCUGGGGGUGUGUGCAUGGUUGUAUGAUCCUACACCAGUUGCCGGGGCUGGUCAAGUCAUGCCUUGGCAGCUUCAGGCUCCAGUGGUCCCACAGGCACACCACAGCAGGGCGCUCCACUCACCUAACCAGCCCCUAGGUCAUCCAGAGGAUUUAUCAUUAUUCUGAGACUCCAUGGGGCCUUGCCUGUGGAUCUAGAAGGGUACCACUGUGCCUCAAUACAAGACACUACUCUUGGGAGGUGAGAACAGGCUCUCCGGGUUCAGAUGAGAGGGGCUGUUCCACAGCAACAUUUUUUGAACUCCAGUGUUACAGUGUCUAUGGACACAGCUUUCAGUUCUUACCUAUAGCCCUUCUCUUCCCAGGGAGCCAACUUACCUUCAAGUUGGCUGGUUCAGGACAUACCUGGACAGCAGCUUGUCUCCAGCCUUCUAUCUUCUUGGGAAGCUGGGCUUGCUGUCAGACUGGUCCUUCUCUUAUGGUAGAUUUUCUCUUGAGGCUCCCAUAGUCUCUGCAAGUGGGCCUCUGCCUGGGCCACUCCAGCACAUCAGGCCUGUCAGUAGUCAAAGCCAAGAGUGACAAAGUUCCCGACUUUCUCCCAGGAUCCCCAGCGCCAAUAAAAAUCAGCGAAUGCGAUGCCUGAGGAGGAUUAUUGCCUCACUAUGUACCAGUACUGCUGAAUCCCAUCUCCCACUCAGCUGGGACCCGCUGCAGUUCUUCCACAGGAUAUGAGCUUUAUCAACAUCCCACGGUUUUUCAUUUCUUCUUCGAGGUGUGAUUACAUUGAGCAGUAACAGCAAAACCUGAAAGAGAAUGGAUACAGGUGUUCAUUUCAGACGGUACAAGUUUAACAAGUCCAAGAGCAACUUAAGGUUCAACACAAAACUUUUAAGAAUAUAUUUAAAUCUUAGUACUUCGUCCAGAAAACACCACAGCAUAACUGAGAGCAUUGGAGGCAGAAAUAAUUUAGUUUAGAUCCAUGAAUUGCUUGCUAUUUACUGUGUGACUCUGGGUAGCCAUUGACUUUAAACCUAUUUUUCCCACUUAUAAAAAGGUAAUGAUGACCACUUGUUGGAAAACUUGAGGGUAAUAGUUGUAAAGGUCAGAGUAAGACCCAGCACCUAGGACCCCACACCUGGUAGGCACAAAGUCAGUUCUGCUUCCUUUCCCUUUCUGUAGAGAAAUGCACAGGAUAUUCCUUAUAUGCCACUUAUGCCAUGGGAUUGACAUAGGUUUGGUCCCUUAUGCUAUUGAUUAGGUUUUGCUCUAAAAAGCUUUAAAAAAGAAAAUUCAUUACUAUAAGAUAAAUUCGAUUCCAAAUUAAUCUUGUUGUAACUCUAAGGUAUGAUUAUGCUGCAAUUCUAGUGUAGUUGGUUCUUAUUUCAUAUUGAACAUCAUUAUGUUCAAUAACCCUUAGCAGGCUUUAACUAUCUCAUAGCUUUCUCUCUGAUUUCCUCAAUAAAAACAAAAUAGCAAUAAUUAGGAAAAAUCAGAAAAUGAAAGCCAAGGAAUGAAAAAUCUGAAUAAAAGCUAUUGC
ensembl:lncRNA